rnacentral:lncRNA from 1 species
CCUAAAGGUCAAAAAGAGUAAUAAACCUUCUGAAGGUAUGCUCGUAAUUGAAUCUAACCUUACGGUUUCUUUUAUUUCUAGUUGGAUAUUAGACUCUAUCUCGAGUGCUCAUAUAUAUACCUCAAUGUAGGGUCUAAUAGAAAAUAAGAGGUUGAGAGAAGGUGACAUAAUUCUUCAGAUCGGUAAUAGAGCAAAAGUUGCUGCAGAGGUCGUUGGCACUUAUCCUCUUUGAUUACCGUCUGGUUUUAGAUUAGAUUUGAAGGACUGUUAUUAUGUUGCUGUAGCU